rnacentral:rRNA from 1 species
CCCUCAUGAAGUCGGAGUUGCUAGUAAUCGCGGAUCAGCAUGCCGCGGUGAAUACGUUCCCGGGCCUUGUACACACCGCCCGUCACACCAUGGGAGUCGGUAACACCCGAAGCCUGUAGUCUAACCGCAAGGAGGACGCAGUCGAAGGUGGGAUUGAUGACUGGGGUGAAGUCGUAACAAGGUAUC